GGGAGCCGGUAGUCCGCUUAGCUCCCCGUCCCUUCCUUCCCGCUCGGCCUACGGCUUCUGCUGACCGCCGGGCCCGGACGGGCUGCUGGCCUUGGGCAUCCGGCCCACUUCCCUGCUGCCAGCACGAGCUGAGCUGCGGGGGCAGAAUGCUGUCACGCAGCAGAGACUUGGAGAGAGGCCACGCAGGAGCGGUCAUUGCGCCAGAGGUGUUGAGAGAGACGCUGAGCAACACUGGAAAUGAAGCUGCCCACGCACUGAGUGAAGGCUGUCCUGUCAGCAGGGAGUCAGGACCAGAAGCAAAACUAGAAGGUUCUGAGCAGGAAUCUGAAGAGAAAACUAUUGAAAAUGCAAUUGGCCAGAGGCAGAGUAAAGACAGCUUGAAUAACUAUAGCACUGGAGACACCCUCCAAAAAGUACAAAAAGAUGUUAAAACUGAACAGAAAGCCAUCAACUGUACAUCCAGAGCAGAUCAACGGGAUGAGCAAAAAUUGGUUGGUGUUCACAAGUCAGUAACCAGCUCAUUCAGUCAAAAGACAGAAGAAAAAGGGGGCUGUGUGAGAAUGACAAAAAAGAUUCUGCAAGACAUUUGUAAGCAGCACAAGUUGUACUUGACCCCAUCCUUAAAUGAUACGCUUUACUUGCAUUAUAAAGGAUUUGACCGCUUGGAGAAUCUUGAAGAGUACACUGGGCUGAGAUGUUUGUGGCUGGAAUGCAAUGGCUUAACAAAAAUUGAGAAUUUGGAGGCUCUGACAGAGUUGCGCUGCCUCUACUUGCAGCUCAAUUUAAUUAACAGAAUCGAAAACCUGGAAUCCUUACAAAAGCUGGAUUCCCUCAAUCUGAGUAACAACUAUGUCAAGACCAUUGAGAAUCUCUCUUGUCUAAAAGUCCUGAACACUCUGCAGAUUGCUCACAAUAAAUUAGAAACAGUGGAAGACAUACAACACUUGCAAGAAUGUCCAAGUAUUUCUGUUCUCGAUCUUUCCCACAACAACUUAAGUGAUCCAAAUAUUGUAACUGUUCUGGAGACAAUGCCUAAUUUGCAUGUGCUGAAUUUAAUGGGAAAUCAAGUGAUUAAGAAAAUCACUAAUUAUAGAAAAACACUUACUGUUCGACUGAAACAGCUAACGUAUCUGGAUGACGGACCAGUAUUCCCAAAGGAUAGAGCCUGUGCAGAAGCCUGGGCUGUUGGAGGGCUUGAAGCUGAGAAGGCAGAAAGGGAAAAAUGGGAAACUAGAGAGAGAAAAAAAAUCCAAGAUAGCAUUGAUGCUUUAGCUGCAAUCAGGCAAAAAGCAUUGGAAAAGAAGACACAGAAAUAUAUAGAAGAAAGAGAUGCAGGUGCAAAACAUGGAAAUGAAGGUGCAACAGACAUCAUAGAAGGAGCAUCUGCAAAUUCAGGAAACGAAGAAAAUUACAGUGCAUCAGAGAUAUCAAAUUUAUCAGAACAGCAAGAACCUCAAGAGAAGACAGAGAAAUUUGGAAAUGAAAAUUUUGAUGCUCAUGAUGAUGUGAGAACGCUCCUAAUAGACAGAGGAGAUAAUACUGACUUCCCAUCUGGAAAGAUUCCUGAGGCUGCACGUGAAUCAAAUUCUUACAAAUGCUCAGACUUCAACAGGAAGAUAGAUGAUCUUCCAAUAGAGAAGACAGCUACUGAAAGGGCUGUGGUUCCUGAACUGGCUGAGUGUGCUGAAAUCGAGCAGAUCAAAUGUGAGACACCAGAGAAACUUCGACUUGGUGAACUACCUGAUUUAGAAGACAUAGAUGUAAAGGAAUUUCCUCCAGAAGAGGAAAUAUUUAUUCAAAAGCAAGAAUAUCACCCAAAGAUUGAAAUAAUUUCUGAAACGACAAAUGAUGGUGAUUCUGCUUUAGAGGAAAGCAAUAAAAACACAUUUGAGGACUCAGUAGGAGAAGCUGCAAUAUCCAUUUUUUCAAAUGUGCGUAAGAUCCAUAAAGAGCAAGAAAAGGAGUGCUUGAGACCCCUUGUUAAAGAAUUCUUUACAGAGCCUUCUUAUUCAGAAGAAGACAAACCAGCUAAGCCCAGUAAAGUCUUGGUACAGGAGAUUACCCCCCAACUUCCUAAUAACCUACUGUUGUCAUCAGUCUGCAGUCAGCCAGAUGACCCCAGCCAACAGGAAGGGGGCAGGAAGAUCACCAUUGCUUGCUCUGGGAGCAGUAGUGGUGGAGGAGUACAGCAGCUGACUGAAGGUGAGGAGUGUUCUCAUGAACCCCAUGAUGACACGGGCAGUGAGAGGGGAUUAGACUGAUGGCUUUCAAUACAAGAGAUCAUAUCUGGAGCAUCAUGCCUGGCUGACUGCGUAUGGCUGUUCUCAAGAUGCAAAGCUCAGCAAUGGAACUGCUUGUUAAAACAGACCUUACACUUAUUAUAAAAACCCAGUGCCUCAAACAAGAGUAUUUCAGUCAUUCAGCACUGAUGUUGCUCCAACACAUGACCUUCAGGGCAGGUGGCCUAGGUGGGUCCUGCCUGAAUACUGAGAUGCCUUACGGGAGACAUUGAGAGCAUCGCACCCCGUGUGGACAAGAAAGGCUUCGCAGACAGGAGAUGCACCCCUUGUGUUGUUCAGCCCCAGCCUGCUGAAUAAUUCUCUCCAGUGUUUCUGGGCAUUAAUACCUUCGUUGUUCAUGUAAGAUGAAGGUGGAGGCUUACAAGCUGAACUUACAAGCUGAACUGAAGGUGGAGGCUGGAAGUCCAUGAACUACACAUCAAAACCCUGCAGAUUGGGAUCAGGUGGCAAUGGCACCUGAACAAAGCUAACAGAACCUUCUUUCAGAUCUAGCCCAGAACAAAUACACAUGAAAAUCAUAGUAUAUCACUAUUCCAUGGCCAAGAAAACAUUUCUGGAUUCAUACCAAAAGUUAAUGACACACUUUUUCAGAAUCGCUAAGGGGGGCUGGAUGUUCAGCUGAACAUUCCUCUUGAGGAGUGGUAAAAAAAAAGUCUGGUGGAAAAGAGAGAUGCUGCUGUCAGCUAUGGGAGCCCUGGAGCAGAAGCCAGAGGAAACACGGGGCCCAUGUAGCUCUUUUCACCCCGACAGCUCACUUAGAUUGCCACAUUGCUCCUAGCUGGUAAGGAACAGGCAGAGAAAACAGAAUUAAUGCAGAUUUGAUGUGGACCCAACCAGGAACAGAGGUCAUUUGGUUACAUUUAAUCUCAGUUUAUUUCCCAUAUUUUUGCCUCUUCUCUGUAAUAACUCAGUAGUUAUUGCUGAUGGCAAUCAUGAAAGUGAAACGACCCUCCGGGUGGCAAAUGACUAGUGCUGGGCUCUGCAUCAUUACAACCCCAUCCCCAAGUCUGCAAGAGCUGCCAGUGCUCCUACCUGAGCAGGCAUUGCUGAACGAUGGGUUGAACACUUUUGAGUUCAGCUCAGUUGCAUUCUUCUCCAUAUCCACUGUGAGCCGCUGCAUCUUGAUGCAAAAAUACAAACUACGAUGUACAGUUAUACAAAGACAGGGCAGCUCGUUAGAAUCAGGCCGCUUCUGAGAAUCAGUGCUUACUGAUGCUGUGUACCAUCCGCCAGCAAUGUGUGCUCUGCUCCCCACCCUGCUUCCAAACUCAACUGCUGAUAGAGAUGCAAUCCCCCACUCGCACUGAAGCUCUCAUCACAUGAGCAGGCCAGGCUAGAGCUGCUGUGGCUGCACCAAGCAAACCCACCAUCCUCUACAGCAAGCAACAAACACAGAAAGUGUUUUUCUUUCCAUUUGUUCAUUCGUGGUUACCUUUACAUAAAACCAGCUUUCAGCUGUCCAGUACUAUGCUUCUAGGUGCAACGUGCUGCAGACAUUACUCACAGUUUUGGUAUGCUCAUAGUUUUCUGCAGGACUCAGAAGGAUGAGAGUGAGCUGCAUCCUUAGGUGCUGCAAAAUUCAGUGGACGUGAGGAGUGAAGCACUGAGUACUGCGGCUUCCUCCCAGCAAUCCAUUUUAAGAGACCUCCCCUUGCUGCAGGACUUGCAAAUACUACCUGUCCCUGCAGAGGCCCUCAGGAAAUGGGAUUACCUACUAAAUUCUCAAUUAAUAAACCUAAACCUACAAAGGCAAGUGAUAUCAUGAAGGAGGUUUAGAGACUUCUGGCACUUCAUUAGAAAGAGAUCGCACUUUGCAUGUCUGUACACAUGGCAGAAACACUCAAUCUUUAUUCCACCCGACUGGCAGGGAGAAUCCACCUCUGGUCAUGGAGGGCAGAAAAAUAGUUGGGAACCUCACAUUUCCUUCACUUUUUAUUUAAUCACCAUAUUCACUUAAGGAACAUGUGCGUCAACAUCAAUUCCCAACAAAUAACACCAAACUGGAUUUCUCCUCAUUUCUUCCAUGUGUGUGCAUUACCACACUCUCUGUUCUGGCUACAACAUAGCAUUUCCUUAGCUAGGUCCGAGCUCUGCUUACAGGAAAUUCUGCUGCAUGUUUACAUUGGUGUUAUCUCAGAAACCCAUCUCUUACCGGGGACAGACCAGCUUCCAUUUCAGACAAAUUGCACUCACUCAUUGGUAAGUUGGGAUUGAAGACCUGUUUGGAAAAACACACCACGAUGGAACUCACAUCAAUUUUGCAGAAA